GUGAAGGAAGGUAUCGUUAUUCUGAACCUGUGCCUUAGGCAAUGUUUACAACUGCCUGGUAAAAGUGACUCGAUUUAUUGCUCAUAUGUGGCACAGAUUGGAUAUGUAUUAUGAACGUGUACACCGGAAAGAAGCACAUGGAAUCGGAUACUCUCAGAUCCGUUUCGGGCCUCAUUCUUAUGUGGAAAUAAAUCCGAUAUUGAUAUCUGUAAAUGCUACGGUCACCUAAACGGACAGAUCGUCUUUUCUGCAUUUGAAUGCCGUAUAACGUUACUUUCACGUGCACAACUGGCAAAACAGCGGAAAGUGAAAUGGAGGACCAAGGUUCAGGCCAGUGGACACCUGCCGAAGUUACCUGUCUUUGCAGACCUCUGAAGAUGCUUCGGUGUAAUUAUUUCGUUUGCGUCCGUUGCAGUGCUGGCUGGACUGACUUGACUUUCGUUUCGGUAACCAAACCCUCUUGUGCACACGCGGGUUGAUUCAAGUAUGAAGCAAGUGGAAACACAGCGGUCUGGAGGCUCUACCAAGAUGGCUGCUGAGUGGCGACUUACAGGAGUGCUCUGUGUUUGAAGAAAAGGGGAAUAAUUCACUUCACCACACAAUGUCAACCUUUCCAUUCCACUGGUGCGACAUAAAGAGGACACCUGACUCUCCCUCCCUCCCUGUCCUUUCUUUUCAUUCCCAUGCUUUUUCACACUGUACUACUAAUAUUGACAUCUACUGCUAAAAUGUGCUCAGCUCUAGCUGACCUCGUGUGAACCACACUGAGAAUAUUCUGAUUUGAACCAUUUUAACAUAAUCGUACUACAGUACACAAGGGCUGUUGGAUGGACUGUGGAAGGAGAUCCCACUAUGCUGCAAAUAUGGUGAGGGGUUCAGCCAAACCCAUAUAACCCAUUGCUCAACUCGUCAUUUGGCAUCUCUCAUCCCCUGGCUUCAAACCAAAUGACAGAGACCCAGAAUAGCACAGCUGCCUGUGCUUUAUGACUGCUAGCUUAGACACCUAGGCUCCAUGAGAGGAGCAUUUCGGGACUGUAGAGCUGCCAAAAUACUCCAUUAAUCUCCAUGAAAACAGAAGGACAUGGGUAGAGUCAACUUUCCUGUCUGCUCUGCACAGAAUAUGCAAGAAGGAAAUCAAGACACAACAACACUAACACACAAGGACAAGCAUAUGGGAGCAUGAGUGCAUGUACAGAUAUGCAGACACACAGCUGUUUGAUGGCUGAGCUGCCAUAGACACAGUAGUUUAUAUUCCAAUCAAAUUGUAACUGAUGGAGAUAAUUUCCAAACACUGUUAAUGACUUAAGAAUAUAA